rnacentral:rRNA from 1 species
UUUAAGCAUAUCACUCAGUGGAGGAAAUGCAAGCAACAGCGAUUGCUUCAGUAACGGCGAGUGAACCAGCAAGCACAAGCAGAACAGAGGGGUUGUUUGUGACGUGGGCUCCCCUCGAGAUACAAUCACACGAGAUUACCUGUCCAAAGACCUGUGCCCAGCACAGGCAGAUGCUAGUCGACCGGCUGUCUCAGACUGUUGGCAAUCUUGUCAAGCAAUCAUCAUGCUGUGAGCUGAUGGAGCUGCUGGUGGAUGCUGGUUGUGACCCUGGCACCAGGCAAAGGGCUCUGGAAUGAGCCACAAGUGUGGGUGACAGUCCCCAACCACAGUGUGUGCCUGGGGUUCACCAGUGUCCUGCCAGUUGGCAUCCUGGAGUAGAGUGGCUUGGGACUGCAGUUUGAAGUGCCAUGUGUAUCCAUGGCAAGGAAGCAUACAGACCUGGGACUGAUAGAGCACAAGUAGAGCAAUCGAAGGAUGCAAAGAACUCCGUGAAGAGGGUUAAAAGCCCCUGAAGCCAUCAUGGGAACGGUGGUGAGUGGUGCUGUGGCUAUACAUGUGAAGAGUGCCUUCCUCCACUGGAGGAUUGAUGUUGCUGGAGUACAGACUCUCAAUGGAUCAAUGAGAUUCCUGGCUAGACUCUCCCCAGUGGAGCCAAAGGGCAAAACACCUUCCAAGUACCUGUCCAAGCACCCUUGGGCCAGCCCUGGGCUGGUUGCUGAGCCCUCACCCUGGUGUGUGGGGAUGUAGUCGCAACAGUCAUCAAGGUGACACCCUGCCUGUCAGGGCCUGAGGGGAUGCUAUGAUUGUGAAAAGGCAAAGCAGCAGUGUGGCUUGACCAACCCACUGACUGGAGGCAAAGUGUGACUCAACCAAGGCAAAGAGGAGCAGUGCUGACAAACACCCAAAACCCUGGCUGUUGUGGUGUGCUGGUGGCUCUCUGGAGCCUGCCAAGCCACUGGCAACACCAGGUCCACUGGGGUUCCCCAAUGGAUCAGGGGUCUGGCAUCUGUGUGGUGGCUGCACCAUUCUGACUGGUGGCCUCUGCUCUGGAUUGCUGACCCCCCACUGGAGACCCCAGUGCAGAAGACGUGUGGAUUCUGAGCUUGGCCCAUCCUGUGGUGGUGCUACUCUCUGCCCGUCUUGAAACACGGAUCAAGGAGUCUAUGGAGUGUGCAGAGGUUGCAUGGAUCUCAAAGUGUCAAACCACAGGGCGUGGUGAAGGCAAAACACAGUCAGGAGCAGGUCACAUCACACUUCAGACAAGGCAAUGUGUGUGUGACUCUCCUUUCGUCCCAGAUUGUGUCUGAAUCAAGGCUGCCCAAGGCAUGGGCAAGGCUUUCUCUGCAUGGGAUCACCAGUCCCGAAGUCCAUUGGACAGGGUUUUGAGUGCUUGCAUGGUCCAUGGGACCCGAAAGGUGGUGAACUAUACCAUUCUACAGCGAAGCCAUGGGAAACUGUGGUGGAGGCUGGUCCGCUGUUCUGACGUGCAAAUCGUGUAGCCUGAGCGUGGCAUAGGGGUGAAAGGCCAAUCGAGCCACCUAGUAGCUGGUUCCCUUCGAAGUUUCCCUCAGGAUAGCA